AUUGAACGCUAGCGGGAUGCCUUACACAUGCAAGUCGAACGGCAGCGCGGACUUCGGUCUGGCGGCGAGUGGCGAACGGGUGAGUAAUGUAUCGGAACGUGCCCAGUAGCGGGGGGAUAACUACUCGAAAGAGUAGCUAAUACCGCAUACGCCCUACGGGGGAAAGGGGGGGAUCGCAAGUGACCUGUCGCUGAAAGAGCGGCCGAUGGUCGAUUAGCUAGUUGGCGGGGUAAAAGCCCACCAAGGCGAUGACCGAUAGCGGGUCUGAGAGGACGAUCCGUCACACUGGGACUGAGACACGGCCCAGACUCCUACGGGAGGCAGCAGUGGGGAAUUUUGGACAAUGGGGGCAACCCUGAUCCAGCCAUGCCGCGUGAGUGAAGAAGGCCUUCGGGUUGUAAAGCUCUUUCGGCCGGGAAGAAAUCGCAUGGGCUAAUACCCUGUGCGGAUGACGGUACCGGCAUAAGAAGCACCGGCUAACUACGUG
rnacentral:rRNA from 1 species